UGCCGACUUUAGUGAAGCUCCAUGCUGACUCUUUCUGGAAGGGUUGUACUGCUGUGCCUUCCUGGGAGCACCCUCUCUUCAAAGCAAGACUCAGACAGUAAAGCAUGAGAGGAGAAUGACAAGCUCAGGGCAGAACUGCAGCUACCCUCACAGAGACCCAGGUCCCCCAUGGACAGACAUCGAGCUCCCCAAGGGCAGAGCCCUCAGCAAAGGGAAUGUGAGGGAGGCUGGCAGCAGAGAAAUAUGGGGUCAGCCAUUGUUACACAUGGAAAAUGGGGGUCAGUAAAAAAGAAAGCAGUGGGUGGCUAUCAGACCACGAUGGGCACACCCUUACGUGGCAGUUCCCACUUAGAAAGUGCAAUGACUUUGCUGGGCUUUAGGUCUCACCCACACAGUGCAGCAUCUCAGGGUGUCAGAGCUCUUCUCUCCCAUGGCUCUGCUGUUUGCAGCGUGUCCAUUGCUUUGCCCCUCGCUCAGUCUUAUAGUUUUCUCUUUGCUCAUCAGCUUCUGCAGAAGAUCAAGAGCCCCCGGAGGCGGGAGUCUGCGGAUCCCAGGGCCCCUCCUGUCUUACUCCGAUGGGCUCAGGAGAGCUAGUCUCUCAUAUAUACUGUUUGCAUGGAUGGAUUGGAUUUCGAGGGAAGACCGGCGGGUAAGGAUGCUGGAGGGAGAUGUCAGUCCCUUUGGAAGAAUCUGCCGGAAAGCCCUCAGAUUACCUGCUAGGAACACCCAUCUCCCUAGGAUCAGGGAGGCAAGAUCCCUGCCACACCAACAGCCCACAGAGGCUGCUGCAGCCUGGGAGGGAGAGUUCUCCAAGUGCCUGCAGCCCCCACAGUCAGCUCUCAGCAUCAGCUGUGCUCCUGCAAGCUCCUAAUUGAGUUAAAAGGGAAUCCAGGCCCCUGGGUGCUCCUUUCUCCAGGAAGCAUUAGAAAAAUGCAGGGAGGGAAAGAAGUUCAAGGUUGGGGUAUGUGCUGCCCUUGGUUCUGCUCGGGAAUGUCUUAGCUGAUUACACGGCUCUCAUUUCAACAACACCAGCUUUGUGUCCUGGCUAUGGGAAGACUCCUCUCUGUCAUUGCUGUCGCCUCUGGAGGGCCACCCUGCCAGGGAAAGCGCAUCUGGAGAAAAAGUUUCUGCCAGAUUUGAAAUACUUUUGUGGAGGGGAGGGGUGCUUUCUCCGGGAAUUUAUGCUUUUCUUACCCACCCCUUUCUCCUCUUUUAUGAGGGUUAAUAGUUAUCGUGGGCUCUCCACGUUUUAAGCAAUCUGGUAGAGUGGUAUGCUCAUGGCUCCCCCUUUAAAACGGCUGGGGCUCAGGCACUUCCAGUGUGGAAGACAUCGACUUAUCUCCCAAGCAUGGGCUUUCUGGAUGAAGGACCUGGAAGCCCACGGUACCCCACCACUCAAGCUGAGAGGCACUGACCAUGGGCAGAGACUGGACGUAGGUAUCGCUGAGCUCUGCACAGCUGGAGAAGUAGACGGCAGCUUGUCCCAAAGUCUACACAAAACCAGUCUGAGCCUUUCUCUCUCUCUGCUUAUCUUGACUUUUUGUCCUCUCUGGAAAUUCCUGUACACACAACAGAAGGAGCCCUGGCAUGACUCUGUGAUCUUCCACCUUGAAACUCGCACAGCCCACUUGAGAGAUUGAACUGGCCGAUAAAAGGAAAUGUUAGCCUCUUUGUGCUGAGUCUGGGAGGAGGUUCCUGGGGGCGGGGAAUCGGAGGUGCAUCACAGUGUCAAACGUUUACCUAGCUUUGACUCCCGUGCCAGCCAUGGUACUUAACCUGCUUUACUUAUUCAGUCUUCAGUGGUGUGGCCACUUCUAGCUAAACUAUGAAACAGGUGCUGAGAAAGGUAACACCGGUAAAUGGUCAAGGUGCAGUCUCGGGCUUGGCUUAGCUGACAUUCCGAGUUGAUUUGGUACCUAUAUUCCCAAUGCUGCAGAAUACCAUCUCCUUACUUCUCUACCACGAUACCAGGGAACAUGCCAUGUCUUGUAGCAUCACAUAUGACCAGCCACAUAUGACCAAGCAUAGCCAUACACGAUGAAGGCAUCAAUAUGUACAUGGGGCAAAAGCCACCAGCACUGCCACUGCUCAGAAGUGACACGCUUCUCUACGAGGACUGCCUAGAACGGAACAGAAUUAGGAUGGAAUCCUUAGACCUUUUCUGUUCUUCAUCCUGUGCUGUCCCUCUUGGCCAUGUACCCCCUCUUGUGUCUUCACAGCCAACUUCACAAGCAAUUCCUCUCACCUCCUUGCAUUGUUUCAUUCUUCAGGGGUCUCUCCGUCCCUUCGUUAGACAAUAAGAGGUUGGAGAGUUGGCAUCGGAUCUCUUUACAGAUGGUUGUGAGCCACCAUGUGGUUGCUGGGAAUUGAACUCAGGACCUCUGGAAGAGUAGUCGGGUGCUCUUAACCGCUGAGCCAUCUCUCCAGCCCCCAACAUUUCUUCAUUGUAUCAUCUUCAUCUGCAAAGCAGAAGUGGAACCUUCCGUACAUCAUUCUUAGUGUCCUGAUGCGAAAUGAGUGGGCCCCUGCAUGUAUUGCGGUUAGAGGGCUGGUAAAGGCAGGCUUCAGCUAACGAGUGACUGUUUCUCAGGAUAGGAAAAACUUGAACACAUGUGUAAGUAGAUAGAAAUAGAUGAAUAGAAGUGGUAACUGCACCGUGGAGAAAACUGAUGGAGUGAGGGUGGGACGGAGGAUACAGGGAAGAGGAUAACCCUGACUCUUUUGAAAGGGUCUCUGCCAAUUCUCAUUAUUUGUAGUAGUUAACAUUCUAUAAAAGCAGUGUGAAUUCUGACAUUACUGACUUCCGGAUGCUCUGCUCCUGAGGGAAAUGCAAGCCUAGUUUUAUUGUGAGCUUCUUUUCUCACAACUCAUUUCUGUCAGCCAAAUAAGAUAUAACUUUAUUAGCUAGGUGAUGGUGGUACACACCUUUGAUCUCAGCACUUGGGAGGCAGAGGCAGGUGGGUCUCUGUUAGAUCAAGGCCAGCCUGGCCUACAUAGUAAGUUCCAGGACAGUCAAAGCUACACAGAGAAACCCUGUUUUACAAAACAAGACAAGACAAAACACAAAAAGAGAUAUAACUUUAUUUGUUGUGUGGUUUGGGUUAAAGACAUCAUAUUUAGUAUAUAUAUUGUUGAUUCUCUAGCCUUGAAUUCAUGACCGCCAUUCCUGCUACAUGGUGCUUGUCUAGGACUUGUUAUUUUCUCCAUAAGACACAACAUAGGUAACAUCUCUGCAUUGCUUUUGUGAAUGACCAAAAACGAGAAAUCACCAAUAAACUCAGUUUACCACAUAGCA